UACGGGGGGAGCAAGCGUUGUUCGGAUUUACUGGGCGUAAAGGGCGCGUAGGCGGUGCGGUAAGUCUGCGGUGAAAUCUCCCGGCUCAACUGGGAGUCUGCCGUGGAAACUGCCGUGCUUGAGUGUGGGAGAGGUGAGUGGAAUUCCCGGUGUAGCGGUGAGAUGCGUAGAUAUCGGGAGGAACACCUGUGGCGAAAGCGGCUCACUGGACCACAACUGACGCUGAGGCGCGAAAGCUAGGGGAGCAAACAGG
rnacentral:rRNA from 1 species